CGUACAUGGAAUGUGGCUUGUCUAGGGCAACUGUAUUUGUAAAUAAAUGGCUUCCUGUUUAUUACGUUCGCUUUCCUGAGAACUCAGCCUCUGAGCACUUAUUAGAGCAAGUAUUCAACUUCUGGUUUAAUUUCCACUGUGUGGGGUGGGGUGUUUUUUGUUUUGUUUUGUGGUAUUCACUAUAAAGAAACCGGGUUAAAAUGAAUCAGUUGGGUCGGGGGGUGGUUCCUGAUCCUGAAGCAUCCAGGCUGACCAGGAGAUAACAACCUUACAAGUCCUCACUUUGGCCUAAGUGCGAGGAAGGGGGCUGGAUCCUGGGACGCUGCUGGACUCCAAUCUGGGGAGUUUCACUUUUGCCCCCCGGAUCUUUCUACUGCUGACCGCAGCCUUCUCUAGCAGCUUCAGAGGGCAAGGCGGCUAUCCUCCUGGCGGGUGGCCUGGGCACCGACCUGCCGCCUGGCAUCCCCGCUAACCCUGCAGCCGCGCUCGCCCACCGCCCGCUCAGAGUCGCCGCGCAGGGCCAGGUUCCGCCGCUCCCGGGCGGGGACCGCAACGAGGCCGGGCACACGCAGCCAACCCCAGCGUCCGUGGGGCGCCCGAGUUCCCAACCCCGGGGAGGCGGCCGGGCCUGGCGCCCGAAACUCCAACCAGCGCCGGCCUCCGGCCGCCCUGCCCCCGCUCGCGUCUCCUCUGCCAGACUCGGCGCUCGGAACAAUGCAGCGCCCGGCGCCCCAGCGGGCCUCGCUGACCCCUAAGGCCCCCCGAUCCGGACCGCCGCCCCAUGCUGGACCUUCUUCCGAGCCGAGGAGAGAACAAGGCAGGUGCUAGGUGCUAUCCAACGUCGCCGUGUAGGACUUCUCGUGGUGGGAAGAACCUCAAGAGUGCAGUUUUGGUGAGCUAGUCAUCUUCACCCUCCUUUUAAAAGAAAAACAAAAACGGAACACCACCACAGUAUAAAGGAGAUCGCAUGAUCGCCCCCCCUUUCUUUUCCGGUUUUGUGAGAUACGUAUAAAAAACAGUCUGGGCAUUUAUAUGCUUUGUUUGUUUAUUUUGCCCCUCCUUCCACGGACUUCAAGCCUGGUCUCCUCGGUGCGUCCCUCG
rnacentral:lncRNA from 1 species